GAUGAACGCUGGCGGCGUGCUUAACACAUGCAAGUCGAACGAAAAGGCCCUGCUCUUGUUGGGUGCUCGAGUGGCGAACGGGUGAGUAACACGUGAGUAACCUGCCCUUGACUUUGGGAUAACUUCUGGAAACUCGGGCUAAUACCGGGUAGGAGCUCCUGCUGCGUGUUGGUGGUUGGAGAGUUUCGGCGGUUGGGGAUGGACUCGCGGCUUAUCCGCUUGUUGGUGGGGUAGUGGCUUACGAAGGCUUUGACGGGUAGCCGGCCUGAGAGGGUGACCGGCCACAUGAGGACUACGAGACGGCCCAGACGCCUACGGGAGGCAGCAGUGGGGAAUAUUGCACAAUGGGCGGAAGCCUGAUGCAGCAACGCCGCGUGCGGGAUGACGGCCUUCGGGUUGUAAACCGCUUUCGCCUGUGACGAAGCGUGAGUGACGGUAAUGGGUAAAGAAGCACCGGCUAACUACGUG
rnacentral:rRNA from 1 species